AUUGAACGCUGGCGGCAGGCCUAACACAUGCAAGUCGAGCGGUAACAGGAAUUAGCUUGCUAAUUUGCUGACGAGCGGCGGACGGGUGAGUAAUGCCUGGGAUAUGCCUUAGUGUGGGGGAUAACUAUUGGAAACGAUGGCUAAUACCGCAUAACGUCUUUGUUCAUUACGAGCGGGACCAAAGAGGGGGACCUUCGGGCCUCUCGCGCUAAGAUUAGCCCAGGUGGGAUUAGCUAGUUGGUGAGGUAAAGGCUCACCAAGGCAACGAUCCCUAGCUGGUCUGAGAGGAUGAUCAGCCACACUGGAACUGAGACACGGUCCAG
rnacentral:rRNA from 1 species